AAAUUGAAGAGUUUGAUCAUGGCUCAGAUUGAACGCUGGCGGCAGGCCUAACACAUGCAAGUCGAGCGGUAGCACAGAGAGCUUGCUCUCGGGUGACGAGCGGCGGACGGGUGAGUAAUGUCUGGGAAACUGCCUGAUGGAGGGGAUAACUACUGGAAACGGUAGCUAAUACCGCAUAAUGUCGCAAGACCAAAGUGGGGACCUUCGGGCCUCAUGCCAUCAGAUGUGCCCAGAUGGGAUUAGCUAGUAGGUGGGGUAACGGCUCACCUAGGCGACGAUCCUAGCUGGUCUGAGAGGAUGACCAGCCACACUGGAACUGAGACACGGUCCAGACUCCUACGGGAGGCAGCAGUGGGGAAUAUUGCACAAUGGGCGCAAGCCUGAUGCAGCCAUGCCGCGUGUGUGAAGAAGGCCUUCGGGUUGUAAAGCACUUUCAGCGGGGAGGAAGGCGUUAAGGUUAAUAACCUUGGCGAUUGACGUUACCCGCAGAAGAAGCACCGGCUAACUCCGUGCCAGCAGCCGCGGUAAUACGGAGGUGCAAGCGUUAAUCGGAAUUACUGGGCGUAAAGCGCACGCAGGCGGUCUGUCAAGUCGGAUGUGAAAUCCCCGGGCUCAACCUGGGAACUGCAUUCGAAACUGGCAGGCUAGAGUCUUGUAGAGGGGGUAGAAUUCGGUGUAGCGGUGAAAUGCGUAGAGAUCUGGAGGAAUACCGGUGGCGAAGGCGGCCCCUGGACAAAGACUGACGCUCAGGUGCGAAAGCGUGGGGAGCAAACAGGAUUAGAUACCCUGGUAGUCCACGCCGUAAACGAUGUCGAUUUGGAGGUUGUGCCCUUGAGGCGUGGCUUCCGGAGCUAACGCGUUAAAUCGACCGCCUGGGAGUACGGCCGCAAGGUUAAAACUCAAAUGAAUUGACGGGGGCCCGCACAAGCGGUGGAGCAUGUGGUUUAAUUCGAUGCAACGCGAAGAACCUUACCUGGUCUUGACAUCCACAGAACUUUCCAGAGAUGGAUUGGUGCCUUCGGGAACUGUGAGACAGGUGCUGCAUGGCUGUCGUCAGCUCGUGUUGUGAAAUGUUGGGUUAAGUCCCGCAACGAGCGCAACCCUUAUCCUUUGUUGCCAGCGGUUCGGCCGGGAACUCAAAGGAGACUGCCAGUGAUAAACUGGAGGAAGGUGGGGAUGACGUCAAGUCAUCAUGGCCCUUACGACCAGGGCUACACACGUGCUACAAUGGCAUAUACAAAGAGAAGCGACCUCGCGAGAGCAAGCGGACCUCAUAAAGUAUGUCGUAGUCCGGAUUGGAGUCUGCAACUCGACUCCAUGAAGUCGGAAUCGCUAGUAAUCGUAGAUCAGAAUGCUACGGUGAAUACGUUCCCGGGCCUUGUACACACCGCCCGUCACACCAUGGGAGUGGGUUGCAAAAGAAGUAGGUAGCUUAACCUUCGGGAGGGCGCUUACCACUUUGUGAUUCAUGACUGGGGUGAAGUCGUAACAAGGUAACCGUAGGGGAACCUGCGGUUGGAUCACCUCCUUA
rnacentral:rRNA from 1 species